rnacentral:sRNA from 1 species
UAUUCUGCCCCACGGGGAAGGAUGAGAAGCUUCGACUAAGGUUCGACUCGAGCGAAGCGAGAGAACGUUGCCACAGGCAAUGGCCCGAAGGCGAGGCGCUUUAGCGCCGAGUAAUCCUUACCCCACCACUG